rnacentral:misc_RNA from 1 species
GAUGAAGAACGCAGCGAAAUGCGAUAAGUAAUGUGAAUUGCAGAAUUCAGUGAAUCAUCGAAUCUUUGAACGCACAUUGCGCCCGCCAGUAUUCUGGCGGGCAUGCCUGUCUGAGCGUCAUUUCAACCCUCAUGCCCCUAGGGCGUGGUGUUGGGGAUCGGCCAAAGCCCGCGAGGGACGGCCGGCCCCUAAAUCUAGUGGCGAACCCGUCGUGGCCUCCUCUGCGAAGUAGUGAUAUUCCGCAUCGGAGAGCGAUGAGCCCCUGCCGUUAAACCCCCAACUUUCCAAGGUUGACCUCAGAUCAGGUAGGAAUACCCGCUGAACUUAAGCAUAUCAAUAAGCGGAGGA